rnacentral:hammerhead_ribozyme from 1 species
AUCCAGCUGACGAGUCCCACAUAGGACGGAACGCGUGUACUGGAU